UGUUUUGGUAACAUUAGUGGUCUGUUUAUGGUCUUUGUUUACACAUGUUGUUAUUGUAAAAUUAUAUUUCAACAUGAAAACACUUUACAGUUAUACACUUUACAGUUAUACACUUUACAGUUAUACACUUUACAGUUACACACUUUACAGUUAUACACUUUACAGUUAUACACUUUACAGUUAUACACUUUACAUUUAUACACUUUACAGUUAACACUCACACUUUACAGUUAUAUACUUUACAGUUAACACUCACACUUUACAGUUAUACACUUUACAGUUAUAUACUUUACAGUUAACACUCACACUUUACAGUUAUACACUUUACAUUUAUACACUUUACAGUUAUACACUUUACAGUUAUACACUUUACAGUUAACACUUUACAGUUAACACUUUACAGUUAUACACUUUACAGUUAUACACUUUACAUUAUACACUUUACAGUUAACACUUUACAGUCACAACACUUUACAGUUAUACACUUUACAGUCAACACUUUACAGUUAACACUUUACAGUUAUACACUUUACAAUCAACACUUUACAGUUAACACUUUACAGUCAACACUUUACAGUUAUAUACUUUACAGUUAUACACUUUACAGUCAACACUUUACAGUUAUAUACUUUACAGUUAUACACUUUACAGUUAUACACUUUACAGUCAACACUUUACAGUUAACACUUUACAGUUAUACACUUUACAGUCAACACUUUACAGUUAACACUUUACAGUCAACACUUUACAGUUAUAUACUUUACAGUUAUACACUUUACAGUUAUACACUUUACAGUCAACACUUUACAGUUAACACUUUACAGUCAACACUUUACAGUUAUAUACUUUACAGUUAUACACUUUACAGUCAACACUUUACAGUUAUACACUUUACAGUUAUACACUUUACAGUUAACACUCACACUUUACAGUGAUAUAUACUUUACAGUUAUACACUUUACAGUUAUACACUUUACAGUUCACAUUUUACAGUUAUACACUCACAAAUUACAUUCAUAUAUACUUUACAGUUAUACGCUUUACAGUUAACACUUUACAGUUAUACACUCACACUUUACAGUGAUAUAUACUUUACAGUUAUACACUUUACAGUUAUACACUUUACAGUUAUACACUUUACAGUUAUACACUUUACAGUCAACACUCACACUUUACAGUUCACACUCACACUUUACAGUUCACACUCAUAGUUAACACUCAAACAUCAAAACAUCAAUAUACACACAUAGUGCCACAUUAUAUUUGGCUAUGUUGUAUCAAGGUCACUAUAUUUUCCUAAUGUCCCUGGGCCUAUACAGCUGUAUAUGGGGCUACAUAUAGGGGCUAUACCCCAAACAUCUCAUCUGAACUAUUAACCAUCUCAGAGACAAGACGUUCCUCAUCUGUCUAAACUAUUAACCAUCUCAGAGACAAGACGUUCCUCAUCUGUCUGAACUAUUAACCCUCUCAGAGACAAGACGUUCCUCAUCUGUCUGAACUAUUAACCAUCUCAGAGACAAGACGUUCCUCAUCUGUCUGAACUAUUAACCCUCUCAGACACAAGACGUUCCUCAUCUGUCUGAACUAUUAACCCUCUCAGACACAAGACGUUCCUCAUCUGUCUGAACUCUUAAACCAUCUCAGAGACAAGACGUUCCUCAUCUAUCUGAACUAUUAACCAUCUCAGAGACAAGACGUUCCUCAUCUGUCUGAACUAUUAACCAUCUCAGAGACAAGACGUUCCUCAUCUGUCUGAACUAUUAACCAUCUCAGAGACAAGACGUUCCUCAUCUGUCUGAACUAUUAACCAUCUCAGAGACAAGACGUUCCUCAUCUGUCUGAACUAUUAACCCUCUCAGAGACAAGACGUUCCUCAUCUGUCUGAACUAUUAACCAUCUCAGAGACAAGACGUUCCUCAUCUGUCUGAACUAUUAACCAUCUCAGAGACAAGACGUUCCUCAUCUGUCUGAACUAUUAACCAUCUCAGAGACAAGACGUUCCUCAUCUGUCUGAACUAUUAACCAUCUCAGAGACAAGACGUUCCUCAUCUGUCUGAACUAUUAACCCUCUCAGACACAAGACGUUCCUCAUCUGUCUGAACUAUUAACCCUCUCAGAGACAAGACGUUCCUCAUCUGUCUGAACUAUUAACCAUCUCAGAGACAAGACGUUCCUCAUCUGUCUGAACUAUUAACCAUCUCAGAGACAAGACGUUCCUCAUCUGAACUAUUAAACCAUCUCAGAGACAAGACGUUCCUCAUCUGUCUGAACUAUUAACCCUCUCAGAGACAAGACGUUCCUCAUCUGUCUGAACUAUUAACCAUCUCAGAGACAAGACGUUCCUCAUCUGAACUAUUAACCAUCUCAGAGACAAGACGUUCCUCAUCUGAACUAUUAACCCUCUCAGAGACAAGACGUUCCUCAUCUGUCUGAACUAUUAACCAUCUCAGAGACAAGGCGUUCCUCGUCUGUCUGAACUAUUAACCAUCUCAGAGACAAGACGUUCCUCAUCUGUCUGAACUCUUAAACCAUCUCAGAGACAAGACGUUCCUCAUCUGUCUGAACUCUUAAACCAUCUCAGAGACAAGACGUUCCUCAUCUGUCUGAACUAUUAACCAUCUCAGAGACAAGACGUUCCUCAUCUGUCUGAACUAUUAACCAUCUCAGAGACAAGACGUUCCUCAUCUGUCUGAACGAUUAAACAUCUCAGAGACAAGACGUUCCUCAUCUGUCUGAACUAUUGACUAUCUCAGAGACAAGACGUUUCUCAUCUGUCUGAACUAUUAACCAUCUCAGAGACAAAGGCUGGGGAUCCCUGAUUAGAGGGGAAUCACCCACGUGCUGUCCCAGGUCUGAAUCAGGCCCUGAUUAUAGGGGAAUCACCCACUUGUUGUCCCAGGUCUAAAUCGGGCCCAGAUUAGAGGGGAAUCACCCAUGUCUUGUCCCAGGUCUGAAUCAGGCCCUGAUUAUAGGGGAAUCACCCACUUGUUGUCCCAGGUCUAAAUCAGGCCCAGUUUAGAGGGGAAUCACCCACGUGUUGUCCCAGGUCUAAAUCAGGCCCUGAUUAUAGGGGAAUCGCCCACGUGUUGUCCCAGGUCUAAAUCAGGCCCUGAUUAUAGGGGAAUCGCCCACGUGUUGUCCCAGGUCUAAAUCAGGCCCUGAUUAUAGGGGAACAAUGAUAAAAGCAGCAGAACUGCCUUCCCAGGGCCAGAGUUGAAUUUGAGGAUUACAGGGAAAAGGAUGCCAUUUGGAACACACCCAUAAUGUUUCUAAACCAUCUCUUCCUCUGGCUGCUUGCCUGGGGAGUCCAACAGCUUCUAACUGAGUCACACUAACUGGCUAUAAGGAUUAUUAUAAUAACUGGCUAGAACCAUGGAACCAGAGUUUUGAACUGGUUAGAACCAUAGAACCAUCGUUGAGAACUGGCUAGAACCAUGGAACCAUAGUUGAGAACUGGCUAGACCCCAUGGAACCAUAGUUGAGAACUGGUUAGAACUGGCUAGAACCAUGGAACCAUAGUUGAGAACUGGCUAGAACCAUGGAACCAUAGUUGAGAACUGGCUAGAACCAUGGAACCAUAGUUGAAACUGGCUAGAACCAUGGAACCAUCGUUGAGAACUGGUUAGUACUGGCUAGAACCAUGGAACCAUAGUUGAGAACUGGUUAGAACUGGCUAGAACCAUGGAACAAUAGUUGAGAACUGGCUAGAACCACGGAACCAUAGUUGAGAACUGGCUAGAACCAUGGAACCAUAGUUGAGAACUGGUUAGAACUGGCUAUAACCAUAGUUUAGAACUGGUUAAAACCAUAGAACCAUGCCUGUCUGUCUGUCUGUCUGUCCUAGAUUCUAAUACGCUACAGGGAUCUCUAUGCACCCUGACUAGAACACACAGCUGUGAUGCCAUUCGGAGGUUGACAUUAAUAAGGAUUCUAGAGGAAAACGUGAUGAUCUGAACCAUGUGUCUGUGAUGUAAUACACGUCUUUGUGAUGACGAAGAGCACAACUCUUUAUUGAUGAAACACUCUCCUGUCUGAAACCUCUUGCGUAGUCUAAUAUCGGGGCGCUGCUAUUGGCCCGUGAGCACAAAGGGGGAAAUCCGAUUGGUUGUGGCGGUGCUUUGCUUGGUUUUCUAUGUAACUCUGUUUCUUGGCAAAUUUAAUGAAACUGAUUUUUUUAUUCUUUUCAUAAUGUGGCAUUUGUAUUUCAACUUAAAGCCCAAUAAAACUUCACAGUGUAAAAUGUUC